UCACAUUUUCGCCGGGUCGACGCGACCGAAUGCAACGGGAACGGUGACCAACUGUCCACGUAUUCUUUCCAGGGCUAACAACGUUUCCAAUUCCGCCAGACGCUGAUCCGACACGCGUUUUUGUCUGCUGUAAAAUCAAAGUUAAUAAUAUAUAUUGUAGUGUGCACAAUUUUUUCACCGUUAUUAUCGUCCUUUAAUUCUACCGUUUUUUUUUCUCGGCCAAUUUAUUUCUAUCGUUCGUUCACAUUCGUUACUAUUUUCAGUAAAAGCUCUCUAUAGUUCGAUCACCGAAAGCCGCCAUUUUUUCUACUUUUUUUUUUUUUUUUUCUUCUCGACAAAUCCGAUAUCUGCAUUCAAUUCCAACUGCGCUAUAGAUAAUAUAUAUACUUGUAUGCGUGUAUACACGUAAUGCCGCGACGGAUAUACAUAUGUAGGCUUCGUUUAUAUUUCGAAGUACGAUAUGAUUAAAAUAAUGAAUUUUUUGAAUGAUCGGAAAUUUCAAACUUGUUGCAUCAUUACUAGUAACUACUGAUGGAUGGACUUUUACGUCAUCGGAUGAAUGGCCGUAAGUGGAGCAGAUCUGCGCGUGAUGAGUUUCAGUGUUCACGUGUAUAAUGUUACACCAGCUAUCCGUUAUCCAAAGGUCCGGUAAGUUGAGAGAGAGAGAAAAAAACAAAAAAAGGAAAGAAAAGAAAUACAUACAAAAUACCGCACAUCGGGUAUCUAAUGACCCGUAAUAAAAUGAUACGAGCUGACCGCCGACCGCAAACGGCGAAAUAUUGAACCCCUCCGAGGACCUCGAGAGUUAAAAAAUGUUCGACGCAAAGGACGCACUUAACACCUAUAGUUUCGUAAUUUCUUAAUUUAUGGACAAAUUUACCCCCGACCCAAAAAAAGCGCGCGGAUCCGGGCGGCACGAGGAGCGAAAUAUACCGUCUCAUUGUGAGGGAAGGGGCGAUUGACUCAUGUGGUGUAACAAAAUCUGUUAAUCAUUUCGUCUUCUCUUAUAUUUUGUCCUUUUCUUUUUUUCUCUAAACAUUUUCUUUCUCAUCUUCACGGACGUCACCAUAUUUCGCUAACGAGUCCGAACACGUUUGAGGGGAUCAUUGGUCUAGUCGGCGUCGAACGCGCUGAAAAUAAAACAGAAAUCUCUCGGGACGGAGAAACUGAUUCACGGACUAGAGAACGGAGCGGAUCCGCGUGUUACGAAGCGCACCGACCGUACGUGAAAGUUUUUUUCUCAACGUAACGAGAGAGCCAGAAAAAAAAAAAAUAAUAACAAAUAAAUAAAAACAUAUUAACGUCCGUGAAUUAAUAGAGAGGAGAACAUAAAAAAAAAAAAAAAAAACAAAGAAAACACCGAAAUGAAAUGAGAUAGAAACGACGGCACGAGUCCGUCGGCACGUAGACUGACUGCAGGUUAUCCGGAUCCUAUUUAUAGACGCUUACCUUGCGAAUAAUCCAAUUGACACUUGUUCCGGAUUAUAACUAUACGUACGGACGUUCUCCGCAAUUGGGUUCUCUGCAAUUUUUUUCUUCAAUCGGAAAAAAAGUACGGGUAACGGCGAGGGAAGCCUGAUUUUUGCGAAACCUAAACACGAUGAAAAUUUGUUCUCUCAUUCCGUAUUUGAAUUGAAUGAAAAAGAUUUUCAUAGUCAUACCGUGAGAAGAGAAGAAAUUAAUAAUUAUUUCAUUCGAUUCGAUUC